CCCACCGAUUCUAGCUUAAAAAUAUAAUACGCACCUAAAACUAACAUCCAUUUUGGACUCUCUCUCUCUCUCACACCACCGCUUUCUCUUUCAUUAGGCUUCUAACACUUCCAUUCACUUUCUCCUCCAAUCGCAUCUCUGCAGCCAAAUCUUUCAAUCUAUUGGUUUGCAUUUCGUGGUUCCUCCGCAUCGGCUACUGAAUUCUGAUUCGCGUCUUGGAGUUGUUUCUCUUUGUUUACAUGAUUAUGACGAAAACAUCCAAAAAGAGAUCGAGUGCAUCAGAAAAUUAAUCCUUUUGUCUUGUUCUGGGUUUUGAAGGAUCUGUUUGGGGGUUUUGAAUGCGGUUUUUGACUGCUUAGUUUGUUUUUUCAUCUGUUUUCUGAGACUGAUCAACGUGUACGUGAAGAAUUUGCAGUGAUUGUACGGAAAACAGGAUUUUUUUCUUUUUAUUUAUUUAUUUGGGUUUUUGUUUUCGUUCUGUUUUCUAUAUAUUAUAAUGAGCUUGGAUUUUUCUUGAUCUUGUUGUUCGGAGUUUGAGAGACUUGGAAGGAGGAGGAGGAGGAGGAGGAGUGGAGUAUUACGGAGCGUUGGUUGUGAGCACGUGCGAGGGUGUUCGUGAGCGCGUGGGGUGGAAGAAAUAAAAAGAAAAAGAAGGCGGAGGAAUUUUUUUUUUUCUUUCCUUUUUUGGUGUUUGAUUGGUGUUGGGAAGCCCGUGAAAAAUGCCUCACAGAACCACUUACUUCUUUCCGAGGCAAUUCCCGGAUCGACGAUUCGAUGAAUCUUCCAAACAGCUGUUGGCGGAUCACGAGAAAAAGGUAUCAACAGCGACCGCUAGCACACCCACUUCCACCACCACCACCACCACCCCCCCUACCCCUACAUGCAAGGACACUAUCAGUAACUUUCAAAUCGAAAGCGACAGAAAGCCAUCAAAACAGUUCUCUGUCAACAGCAAAUCCUCAGCUGUAUCGCAGCUCUUCACGGGUCAUGGAAAAUCACACACCAAACAGCACACACAGCCACAGCAAGUCAAACCGCAACAGCAACAACAUUUCGCAGCCUUCUGCGAUUGGUUGGCCGAGAAGAAAGCCGAACGUUCCACCACCGCGGCGCACGUGAAACCACCGCGCGAUGAGGACCGUGAGCUUCUUAUCCCACCACCUCCUGAGUCGGUUCCCGAAGUGGCACCGCCUGAGUCGGUGGUUAAGGAUCGGAGUGUGGAUAGGAAUUUCGACCGGCAGGUUUCGUUGCCGAGAGUUUCCAGUGGGAGUAGCUAUGCGGGAAGUUUGUUCUCUGGGACGACUCUAGAUGGGAAUCUGUCGAUCGAUGUUAAGGACAGUUAUUCGAAAGUGUCGUCGUUUUCCACGGCGAGACAUGAGGAAGUGGAGGUGGAGGAGGAAGAGGAGGUGGACAAGAAUAGGGGGAGCUUGGCGCAGAAGACUAAGGAGAGUUAUUAUCUACGGCUUGCGUUGGCUAAAAGGCUCACUUCUCAAGCUUUUCUUGAUCAUACCGAGCCUCUUCUUAUGCAAGUUUCUGGACCUGAGUCCUCUAACGCCGAAAUCGUUUCUUAUCGACUCUGGGUGAGUGGCUGCUUGUCUUACACUGACAAGAUAUCAGAUGGUUUUUAUAACAUUUUGGGGAUGAAUCCAUAUGUGUGGGUGAUGUGCAAUGAUCCGGAGGAAGGAAAACGCCUACCACCAUUGAUGUCACUUAAAGCAAUCGAACCCAGUGAGACAUCUAUGGAAGUGGUCCUUAUUGAUAAGCGAGGAGACUCUCGUCUGAAGGAGCUUCAAGAUAAGGCGCAAGAGCUGUAUUGCGCUGCAGAGAAUACGUUAGUGUUGGUGGAAAAACUAGGGAAACUUGUUGCCAUCUAUAUGGGGGGCACUUUCCCUGUUGAACAAGGGGAUCUUCACAUGCGCUGGAAACUGGUAAGCAAAAGGUUGAGGCAUUUUCAGAAAUGUAUUGUGGUCCCCAUCGGCAGUCUUUCUAUGGGGCUUUGCAGGCAUCGCGCUAUUCUUUUCAAGAAGUUGGCAGACUACAUAGGCUUGCCUUGUCGGAUAGCUCGCGGUUGCAAGUAUUGUGCAGCUGAUCAUCGGUCUUCUUGUCUUGUCAAAAUUGAAGAUGACAGGCAAUCCACAAGGGAAUAUGUAGUUGAUUUAGUUGGAGAACCAGGAAAUGUGCAUGGUCCAGAUUCCUCGAUCAAUGGAGGAUUUCUUUCUUCAAUGCCUUCACCAUUACAAAGUUCUCAUCUCAAAGAAUUCCAAGAACCUUACAUGGAUGGUGCAUCUUGUUGUCAAAGUGUAAACUCAAAACACACAUGUCUUCCAACUGAAAGUCCCCUUUUUGCAGGCUUUGGGAAAGAAACCCAGAAGGCUGAGGAAAAUACUUUUUCCAAUAAUCUAAAGGGUGUUACAAAUGGUCCAGUUUAUCAAGCCACAUCUGGGAAGGAAUCUUCUCCAAUGCCUUUGGAGAUGAAGGGGAAUUUUGAGAAUUGUGUCAUCCAGACUCCGGUGAUGCCUUCUUUCCAUGGAAAUCAAGCUGUAAAGAGGAGCCCAAGGAAAAAAAAGAGUGCCAAGCAACCGAAAUUAAGAGUGAACUUAUCCAGUGAAUCAGAUGCUGAGGAGGUUGAGAGUGAACCUGACAAUGGAGGCAACUUUUCUUCUGUGACAAUCCCCAGAUACUUGAAUCUUGAACCAUCUCUUGCAAUGGAUUGGCUUGAGAUCUCAUGGGAUGAGUUGCAUAUCAAGGAGCGUAUUGGUGCUGGUUCAUUUGGGACUGUGCAUCGUGCUGAAUGGCAUGGAUCGGAUGUUGCUGUUAAGGUUCUUACGGUCCAGGAUUUCCAUGAUGAUCAGUUAAAGGAAUUUUUGAGAGAGGUUGCAAUAAUGAAACGUGUACGCCAUCCAAAUGUAGUCCUUUUCAUGGGUGCAGUUACAAAGCGUCCACAUCUGUCAAUAGUGACUGAAUAUCUGCCUAGGGGUAGUCUAUAUCGCCUUAUACACAGGCCUGCUUCCGGUGAAAUUUUGGAUCAGAGGCGGCGAUUACGCAUGGCACUGGAUGUGGCUAAGGGGAUCAACUAUCUCCAUCGUUUAAACCCUCCUAUAGUUCACUGGGAUCUUAAAUCUCCCAAUUUGUUGGUUGAUAAAAAUUGGACAGUCAAGGUAUGUGAUUUUGGGCUGUCCAGAUUUAAAGCAAACACCUUUAUAUCUUCCAAGUCUGUUGCUGGCACGCCUGAGUGGAUGGCGCCAGAAUUUCUUCGUGGAGAGCCCUCAAAUGAGAAGUCUGAUGUUUACAGUUUUGGAGUGAUCCUUUGGGAACUUGUAACCUUGCAACAACCUUGGAGUGGACUAAGCCCUGCACAGGUUGUUGGAGCUGUUGCAUUCCAAAAUCGGAGGCUCGCAAUCCCACCAAAUGCGUCUCCAGUGUUGGUUUCCCUGAUGGAAUCUUGCUGGGCUGACGAUCCCGCUCAGCGGCCAGCUUUUAGUAGUAUAGUUGAAUCGUUAAAGAAGUUGCUGAAGUCUCCAGUGCAACUGAUACAGAUGGAGGGGACGUAAGGGGGGGCUCUACCAUGCUGUUUUGAACCUUGGUAGUCACUGUGGUUUACUGAACCUGUUUGGUUCUUAGUAAAAUUACAGAUUUGUUUGACUAACCCCACUUGAAAUGCAUAGUUAAGCUCUUCAUUCUGAAGCCUAUAAUUGAUUAAAAGGCAAUGUCAGAGAACAAAGUUGGGAGUGAAAUGUAAGCUUGUGGGGAUGAAUUUUUAGAUUACAAAGAUGAUGGCAGCUAGCAUAAGAUUAUAGUGCUGCAGCCACAAAUUUCUGGUGCUGUGCAAGCUAAUUUGGAACACAGAGUGCCUCAGCCCUGUAGUCUUGGCACCGCGGUGCUGGCCAUGCUUACGACAAGGAAUUUUGGCAGUGAAUUCUAUUUUAACAGGAAACAUUUUAGGGUAUUAUAAAUAGAGAUCAAGAGAUCAUCGGUAAGGAAAUUUUGGAUGGCUGAAAACCGAAGUAGAGCGUGCAAGGAAGUAAAAGAUCGAAGAGGAAACAGAGCCUGGAGACGGAAUUCGUUCAUUACUCUUUAUAAUUUUCUAGUUUUUCUUCUCCUUCUUUAUGCUUAACAAUAUGUUUAGGGUUUUAUUUUACUUCAUUAUGUUCUAAAUUUCUUUCUAUCGAUACGAUGUAACCGGAUUAUGAAUACCUAAUUUUUUUUUUUUUAGUUUUAAAUAAAUUGAUGAUUAUUUUAUAUC